UUGGAGGGCAAGUCUGGUGCCAGCAGCCGCGGUAAUUCCAGCUCCAAUAGCGUAUAUUAAAGUUGUUGCAGUUAAAAAGCUCGUAGUUGAAUUUCGGGAUUGACACAUCGGUCGUGCCCUAAGGGGUAUGAACUGGUGUAGUCAGUUUCUCACCUUCUGGAGAACCGCGAUGUCCUUAAUUGGGUGCCGCGGGGAACCAGGACCUUUACUUUGAAAAAAUUAGAGUGUUUAAAGCAGGCAUUUUGCUUGAAUACAUUAGCAUGGAAUAAUAAAAUAGGACGGAUGGUUCUAUUUUGUUGGUUUCUAGGAUCACCGUAAUGAUUAAUAGGGAUAGUUGGGGGCAUUAGUAUUCAAUUGUCAGAGGUGAAAUUCUUGGAUUUAUUGAAGACUAACUACUGCGAAAGCAUUUGCCAAGGAUGUUUUCAUUAAUCAAGAACGAAAGUUAGGGGAUCGAAGACGAUCAGAUACCGUCGUAGUCUUAACCAUAAACUAUGCCGACUAGGAAUCAGACGAUGUUAAUUUUUUAAUGACUCGUUCGGCGCCUUACGGGAAAC
rnacentral:rRNA from 1 species